AGAGCUUAAAGACCCUACAGUUUACAUCCAUGUAUAAAGAACAAAAGCAAGAGCAAGGUCACCGAUUUUGUACACAGGAAAACAAAUCAAAUUAAAUAGCAACUACAUAUGCAAAAAGUCAAAGGAAGAAUUUGAACUGUAUGUGAUUGUCCCUUUGUAUACAAUAUGAUUGUCCAAUUCUAGCUUAAUUAGGCCAGAAAACCUAUAGAUAUAUAAUUAUAAAUAAACUGUCUUGGAUUCCAUACUUUAUUUGGAUCUAUAUUUCUCACCAUCCACAGUUCCA
rnacentral:lncRNA from 1 species